GUUUCCUUAUUUGUGAUUGAUUUACGUUAUUUUAGUGUUUUUGUAGGUUUGUGUCAUACAGAGAAGAAAAGGAGUUAAAAUGAGCAAAUAAGGAUUGAAAGACGAUUGCAAUCCCAAGUGCCAGAAUUUGUCUAUGCAGAACGGCUAACUUUGCCGAAUUACUGGGAAUUAUUCAGAUCGAAUCAGACUAUGAGCCUUCAUUGGAAAGCUACGGAAGUCUACUUUCUGUAAAAGUUUACGGAUCUCGAUUUCGAUACUUAUGAACUGAGUUAUGAUCAUUUGAAUGAAGAUAGGUCAGAUCAGAAAAUCUGCUCGGGAAAUUACAAGCUUUUGUGGAGAACUCAAGUUCCAUGGUACAAGACUGUCAACCCUAAAGCUUCAAGGACAAUAAUACAUAUGAGGAUUCAAGAAGUACAUGUAUUCCUAGUUCUACAAGAGAUAUCUCAAGGUUUUCUCAUUCCAUAUCAAAAAAGGAGUCUGAAUCCAAGUCUUACAAGGAAAUAUGAAGCCAAAGAUGAGCAGGAAACUUCUCUAUAUAAAGGAGCACGAAUUUCAUAUGAAGGAGAGGUCUCGGAAAGCACAUUGUAGACGCCUAAAGGAGCAGAGACCAUCCAUCCAUCCACCUUCACCUUCAUCCCCUUUCCAUCAUUACUAUGUUUUAUUUAGUCUUGUUAAGUUAAACCUUUUCUAGGGUUAGGAUGAUGCCCUAGCAUGAUUGUUUAUGUCUUUGAUGUUUGAUUAAUUGAUUUAUAGUUUCUUUAUGAUGAA
rnacentral:lncRNA from 1 species